UCUUUCACUAAAACAAAACCUCUCUUCCAUUGUUCGAUCUAGCUCCGCCUAUGUGAUGGAUUUGAUUAUUUUGAUCAACUAGGGAUUUUUAUCUGUUUUCCCAAACCUAAUAAUUUCUGAUUCAAUUUUCUUUUUUAGGUUACUAUGUAUGUUUAAAUCCGAAUUAGGGUUUACCUUGAGCCUGAUAAUGCAAAAGGAUUUUAAGGGUUUCUCAUUUGAUUUUAAGGUUUUUUUAUUUUGAUUCUCUCUUUAUCCCGUUCUUAUUGUUGAUUUUUUUCCUUUAAUAAUUGUUUGCCCGGUUUAUUUACAGAUGUGAUUUCGGCUGAAGCUGGAAAUGGUUUAUUUACAUGAUUGUUAAGUCUAACCCUUUUUUCUCUUCCUGCUUCUUCCCCAUUCUCAACUAUAGACAAACAUAAAAACAGUAUAAUCGUGUUUUUUUUGUUAUUAUUGCUUGAUUAAUAGUUAGGUUUCGUAUCUACUGAUUUCUAUUGUUGUUAUUUCUGAUUGCCAGCAACAGUAACCAAUCUAAUCUCAACUCCUAUCCACAGUAGCUAACCCAUAAAAUCAAAUUUAUUGCUUCUGUUUAGGUUUCAUUCACAGAUUUUACAGGAAAAAAUGGGAAGUAAUUGGGGUUUUUGUUGUACCACAGCUGAGAUUUUUAACGAUACUAUUACCAUGCAUUAAUUAUCUUUUAUCACGAUUGAUUCGCAUGAAGUGGUCAAGUCUAUGUAUUCUUCCUUACUUUUUGUUUUUUCAAUUAGGAACGAACUUUGUUGCAUUAAGCUAUCUAUCUACGGGGGUUAUGGUGGUGAGUUUUUAGUUAAGGUUCAAAAUGGUUUAAAAUAUGAGGCUGAACACCAGUUGAUAAUUCUGUGAAUUAUCAUUAAUUCAUGUGCUUAAAUGUCUUAUUUUGAUGCACUUCCACUAUUCUAAGAAGAAAUUGACCUAAUGCAUGAGUCAGCUGUGACAGAAUUCGAAUUUCGGUGGUUCAAAUUUCUUACACGAGACAAAUUCAUAUCAGCCUUCAGAUUCUUUAGAUAUUGUUGAUCUUUGGAUAUAUUAAAUUAGGGAUGCGAUAAUGGAUAUCAAGGUUAACUUUUGUGGUCGAAUGAGAGGCUGGGUAGGAUACCAGUGCAUUUAAAAGGUAUUGACUGUUCUUUUCUGUCAUAUUUUGUAGCGGCAGAGGCCAUAUCUGGGUUAAACAGAGGUUUGUACUUCUUAUUAGUCUGAACAUUACUUUUCUUUUUCUGUUUGGUAUGGUGUGAGCUUGGAGCAGGAUCAAUAUGCGGUCUUUUUUUUUUUUUGACGACUGAUUUUUUUUUAUUGAUUUUUCAGUUUUUGUGAGAAUUUGUUGUGUUCAAAUGAUUAGCCUGGAUGUCUCAGUGAUGCGCGUGAUUGUUUUUGUUUCGGAUGAUCAUUUCAGCUCAGCAAAUUUGGCUUAGCUUCAGAAUGUUGGGGCUCACUGCUACGAAGAGUUUUGUUGAAGUUGAUUUCUACGGGUAUCCUCUAUGAUCAACUUAAACUAAUUUUGAAGAAAUUGUGUGGGAAAGAUCGGUCUGAGCUUGCCAGAGAAAUGGAGCAGCAUCUUGAUAGGAGCUAAAAAUGAAUGAGGUCAGUGUAUUUAACAGGUAUAGAUGUUUUGCUUGAUUUUGUUGUGGCAGUCGUUGUCUGAAUUCGGUUUCGUUGAAUUUUUUUUAUAAAACAUGUUGGUAUGGGUUCUGUGUUUCCUAAUUGUGAAAGGAGAAUCUGCAUGAAGCGAAGCAACUCUAUAGUAACCAUCAGAUUCCUUAUUUUUGAUUUGAGGUUUGGCAAUUAAAAUUUCACCCUCAGUUGCAUUAUGGUUUCUGAAUAUCAUGUGAACUUGCAUUCUGGAUCUGCAUUUUCUAUUUGUGAUUUUUUGCAUUUAAUUGUUGGUUGCUUAAAAGAAGUUACUGUUGAAAAGUGAGAGCUUACAUUUUAUCCUCUUUUCUUUUUUGCAAGACAGAUAUUGAAGAACCUGUAUAUUAUACAUACCUUGAUCUUUUCCUCACUGAAAUGCAACUAUAUAUAUGUUCUUUCAAUGGAACUUUCAUUGCUUCUCCAACAAUAUAACUAUAGUCACGUAAAUAUUUUUGAAAAAAUCUUCACGACAAUUGCUUUUCAUGCUCAUUUAAUGGAUUACUAAUCUCUUAUCUGAUUUGAUCUUUUAUGUGAGAAGGGGAAAAUAACUGAAUAAGGCCGAGUAGAUUAUCUCUUGGUAAUGUUUAUUUUAACCUCUUCUCUGAGAUAAAAAAAAAAAGUGUAGCUAACCGCAAGUUGAUGGCCUGGACCGUACCAUCGCAGUUAGUCAAAUGGAUAGGCUACCUGAAUUAAAUUUUAUUUCUCUAUUACCAACUCUUUUCUUAUCCUAAUCAGGUAUGAAUUCUAUUUCUCCCUGAUCUGCUUGCUUUUGAUUUUCUUUUGUGUGUACGAUUAUAUGCUGCCACUGAUAUUGUCAUGAAAUCAGAAGAUUAGGAACACCUCAAAUGUCUAUGGUAAGCUGACACUAAUCUUUUUUUGUUUUAUCAUCUCUUACUCCUAUUGUAAUCAUGUGCAUAAUUUUAUAACUAUACGAAGAAGAAAAUAUUCUAUUAUAGAAUAAUUAGUUAAUACUGGAACCGAUGUUUAAAGCCCAUUCAAGUUCAAGAGAGCUAGACGAAAACCCUUAGUUAUGUGUUGUAGAUAAUAAUUGAAAUAACUCUGAUCUUUGUCACUUGUUCAAGUUCCUAACACGCUAAUCAUACAUAAGUGGUGUACUCCCUAUAUACCUUUUGUUUAGCAGUGGUUUUUAGUUAGCAUGGUCUCUUUUUUAAAAGUCAUUUGAGCAUUAAUUUGAAACGUUUUGUAUAUAUGUGCUGCUCUUGCAGAUUUGAAUUCUAUUUUAGGGCAAUCUAAGGUGAUAAUACUAACCCAUCGAGAGAAGAAGAAGGUGACAAUACUAACCAUUUGUUAUCAAUAAAUAGUCGUUUUCAAUUAAGUAUACAUUUAUGGCCUGGGUUGCAGGAAGAUGCUGGAGGAGUCAUAAAUGUCUAUAGAAUCCAUAUUGAAUUGUUCUUUCCAAAUUUAGGCUUUGGGUUCUUAUGGAAGUACCUCUAAUAAUAAAAAUAUUGUUAAUACUUUCAAUUUUAUUAACUUGCAUAAGCGUAUUUGUAUACUUGAUGGGCUGAUUUUACAGUGUUUGGAGUAAUGCUGCAAGUGGCUCAAAGACAUGCAGACUCGGAAAGUUUCAAACAACUAUGCCAAAGACUUAUUUUAUGAUCCUAUACAGGUGGAAUUCUUGCUUGGUGAAAGGAUUAUUGUGAAUGGUAUGUAACUCUUAACUUCACCUCAUUGAAUUUUCUCCAAUCCUAUAAAUAUUUUUGUUUACUUUUCUAGCUUAUUGUUAGUGUCCACUUGGACCAGCUGAUAAAAAGAGUACGGUUAAAUGUAAGAUUAUGAGUUCGAAGGGGACUGAGGGUCUGAGCUGGUGAGUUAUAUAAUGCACUUGCAUAUCUGCUUGCUUCUGAAUAUAAUCCAAUAGAACUAUUGACGUACAAAUGAGUAUACUUGAAUUUUUUUUCACGGUAUAGUUCAAUUGGUAGCUUAGAUGAAAAGGUUUACAGCUUUUGAGGACGAUCAUCUGCAAAAGCUAAUCGCAGGAUGAAGGGACUUGGCUGCUCGGUUUUCAUCUAUCUCCCCAAAUUUUGAGAUUGGAUACUCUAAAGCAUGAGAAUAGAUGGACUAGCUUAUGGUGAAGUCUGGGUGUCAUUUUGGCCAUCGUUUUACAAAUGACCGCUCACCUGAUUGAAAAUCAAGGACUUGAAAAGUGGGUUGGAGGGUUACUGGGUUAUCUCUAAAUUAGCUGUUCACUUUUUUGGCUUUGUCACUACUGAGCAGAUGAAGGAACUUGGCUGCUCGGUCUUCAUCUAGCUCCCCAAAUUUUGACAUUGGAUACUCUAAAGCAUGAGAAGAGAUGGACUAGCUUAUGGUGAAGUCUGGGUGUCAGUUUAACCAUCGUUUUACAAAUGACCGCUCACCUGAUUGAAGACCAAGGACUUGAAUAUUGGGUUGGAGGGUUACUGGAUUAUCUCUAAAUUAGCUGUUCACUUUUUUUUGGCUUUGUCACUACUGUAGUUGAAAAUAUCAAGUGCAUCUUUAAGGUUAAUGGUAGAAGUUUUGACUUUUAUAUUGUUAACGUGACAGUUGGGUGUCAGUUUAGAAAGGACUGGACAUGAUGCUUACAUUUUGAAGGGAUUAAAUUGUUGCCAUCUUUAUGUAACUUGAUGUAAGAGAAUGACUCAAAUUCAUGGAGUUGGUGAAUCCCAAGUCUUGCAGUGUACCGUCUUGAAGUGCUAACUACUUUCAUCUUCUACACUAAUAUACUAUAUUUAAAUAAAAAUAACAGGUGUAAAAUUUGUAUUCGGCA